rnacentral:pre_miRNA from 1 species
AAAAGCAUCUCCUGGGGAUCUUGUUAAGAUGCUGAUUUUGAUUCAGUAGAUCUUGAUAAUGUCUGAGAUUCUGCAGGUCUAACAAGGUCCAAGAUGGUACCAGU